UGGAGGAAAGCAGGGGAUCGUAAGACCUUGCGCUUUUGGAGUGGCCGAUGCCUGAUUAGCUAGUUGGUGGGGUAAAGGCCUACCAAGGCGACGAUCAGUAGUUGGUCUGAGAGGACGACCAGCCACACUGGGACUGAGACACGGCCCAGACUCCUACGGGAGGCAGCAGUGGGGAAUUUUGGACAAUGGGCGAAAGCCUGAUCCAGCAAUGCCGCGUGAGUGAAGAAGGCCUUCGGGUUGUAAAGCUCUUUCAGUCGAGAAGAAAAGAUUGUGAUGAAUAAUCACAGUUCAUGACGGUAUCGACAGAAGAAGCACCGGCUAACUACGUGCCAGCAGCCGCGGUAAUACGUAGGGUGCAGGCGUUAAUCGGAAUUACUGGGCGUAAAGGGUGCGCAGGCGGCUUUGUAAGUCAGAUGUGA
rnacentral:rRNA from 1 species